rnacentral:rRNA from 1 species
GAUGAACGCUGGCGGCGUGCCUAAUACAUGCAAGUCGAGCGAACAGACGAGGAGCUUGCUCCUCUGACGUUAGCGGCGGACGGGUGAGUAACACGUGGAUAACCUACCUAUAAGACUGGGAUAACUUCGGGAAACCGGAGCUAAUACCGGAUAACAUGUUGAACCGCAUGGUUCAACAGUGAAAGACGGUCUUGCUGUCACUUAUAGAUGGAUCCGCGCCGCAUUAGCUAGUUGGUAAGGUAACGGCUUACCAAGGCAACGAUGCGUAGCCGACCUGAGAGGGUGAUCGGCCACACAGGAACUGAGACACGGUCCAGACUCCGAGGGGAGGCAGCAGUAGGGAAUCUUCCGCAAUGGGCGAAAGCCUGACGGAGCAACGCCGCGUGAGUGAAGAAGGGCUUCGGAUCGUAAAACUCUGUUAUUAGGGAAGAACAAAUGUGUAAGUAACUAUGCACGUCUUGACGGUACCGAAUCAGAAAGCCACGGCUAACUACGU